AUCGGGCAAGGUAAGUUGUUUGAGUUGCGUAAUCUGUCAGGUCCGGAAGGAAGCAGCAGGCGCUCUCUUCUCUGUACCUUGCCCUUUUAU
rnacentral:SRP_RNA from 1 species